rnacentral:lncRNA from 1 species
AGUUGCAAGCCACAAGCACAUGCUAGUCAUUUCAAGGCCUAGAUGGGAUUAUCCAACCCACAUGCGCCCGAUUAUACACAAGUUAAAAUACUAGGGAUCUAAUUAAAACUUUAACCUGAAAAAUCCCAAACUGAUGAUCUGGUUCUUUGUCUAAUUCAUGGUUCCGUAGCCUAGAAAAAUACCUACAUUAAGCAUAAACAACAGAACAAGCAGCCAAACUAAACAACACUAGCUUUGAUAAGGUUUUAGUUAAUAGUAGGCGUGGCUGAUUAAGAUGGAGCUAUGUUAUGGAAGACGGCAGCAUCAUUACCCC